GAUGAACGCUGGCGGCGUGCCUAAUACAUGCAAGUCGAGCGAAUGGAUUAAGAGCUUGCUCUUAUGAAGUUAGCGGCGGACGGGUGAGUAACACGUGGGUAACCUGCCCAUAAGACUGGGAUAACUCCGGGAAACCGGGGCUAAUACCGGAUAACAUUUUGAACCGCAUGGUUCGAAAUUGAAAGGCGGCUCCGGCUGUCACUUAUGGAUGGACCCGCGUCGCAUUAGCUAGUUGGUGAGGUAACGGCUCACCAAGGCAACGAUGCGUAGCCGACCUGGGAGGGUGAUCGGCCACACUGGGACUGAGACACGGCCCAGACUCCUACGGGAGGCAGCAGUAGGGAAUCUUCCGCAAUGGACGAAAGUCUGACGGAGCAACGCCGCGUGAGUGAUGAAGGCUUUCGGGUCGUAAAACUCUGUUGUUAGGGUAGAACAAGUGCUAGUUGAAUAAGCUGGCACCUUGACGGUACCUAACCAGAAAGCCACGGCUAACUACGUGCCAGCCGCCGCAGUAA
rnacentral:rRNA from 1 species